UAUGGAUUAAUUAAUUAUUAAUGCCAAGUGUGUUGAAAUAUUCCGGGUCAACCAUUAUGACUGUUCUUCCUAACAGAAAUCAAUGACGAGGACUUUAGAGAUAUCGUAAUCACAGAUGUCGAUUUUGGCGUGAUAGAUGACAGAGGCGUUGCAUAUAACAAUCAAAAUCCAGCAGUCUUUACAGGGGUUAUUGAAAUUGAGGAGGUAAUGUCUGAAGAAAGACCACGGGCCAACGGGCAGCCAAUUGUGCUGCGAGACGUCCCCACCGUCACGAUUGAAACAGAAUUUAGGCAGCCGGUACAGCAUAUGCAGUCAAGAGAUGAAAACGCUGGGCACCCCUCGGCUACCCUACAAAUGACUGCCGAGAUUGAGCCUGCAGCAUCCACAGAAAACGGUCAGGAGCCUAUCCAGGCCCUCGCUGAUUCAGAAGAAGAAGCAGAAGAAGCAGAAGGAGAGGAAGAAGCAGCAGAAGAAGCAGAAGUAGAUGGUGUAGUGGUUCUGAAAGCAGUUGAAGAUGGCAAUGAAGUGGAACUUAAUCUUUCUGAAAUCCUUGCCCUCGAAAGAGCAUCU